rnacentral:lncRNA from 1 species
AUGAAAACACUACAGUUGGGCACAUACCGAAACAGAACCAAAUAUAACUGUUUACAUUGGCAUUCCAUUUUCCUGGACUUAGGAACACAGGAUGGCACCUACCUUCUCCCAUCUGGGCAUCCCACAGCUGAGACCAUGCCCAGUCUUGAAAUGGCUGGUGACCCUCCUUCAACAACAGACGUAACAUCAGCAAUUUUAGGCUGAAGGACACGAAGGACUGCUCUGAGUCAUCUCCUGUCAAGGGUCAAAGGACUGCACAAGAAGAAAUUCCCACCCAAGAUUUAUGGAUUACAAAAAUGCUGGACAUGGUAGAGAUGGACACACAGACUAGGUUUAUACAAUCGCCAGAUCCUUCCAAAUUUGAAGAACAAUGAAGGCAGCUCUUUAUUGAUUAUUUAAAAGAAGAAAAGAAAAUCAAAACAUUGGGUUUUCUAUAGCAUCUAGGGGAAAUUAGUAGAACAGGGAUGUAGGAAUAACAAGAAAAGAAAAAUAGAGAAGUUAGUGACAAGACUUACAGGAUCCUCAAUGAUAUCCAAGGGAUCCUGGAAAGGUAAUCUGCCAGAGAUGAGAGGUUUUAUGACAAAAAGAAUAGAUUUUUUGAUUAAGAAGGAUACAGCAGAGACAGGAUAGGAAGCAUUAGUUAGGGGUUUCUAUUUUCCAGUUCUCAAUUUUUCUAUCCCCUUUGUUUCAAAACACUGUACACCCGCUUUUCUAUCCUUCUGUUUUAGAUUAGAAAAAGAAAGUUCCUUUUUUUCCUUUUUUUCCUCUUUUCUUUUUUAACAUUGUAGAAACCCUUUUUGUAUUAAAUAACAAUGGAAGAAUCUGCGGGGCAGCAGAGUGAUCUUGUCGCCCAUCGCCCUACCCACCCUUCCCUAUUCCCCAUGUUCAGAGGAAAGCAUCCCACCAUGUUGUCAGGAUGCUUCCUCCACAGAAAGUAUCCAUAAGUCAUGUGGUGGCAUCUGGUGGGCUCCAAGGAGAAAGCAUCCUGACAGCAUGUGAUGAGGUCAUAAACCUACUUUUGUACCCUUCCCUAUCCCUCAUAUAUUUGCAAUAAAAAUUAUAUGGGGAAAAGGACUGCAUUAGGUAGGGAAUCACUUUUUGAGAGUACAUUCAUUUCCUGUGACUAAACAAGGGUGAAAUUUAGAUUUUGCAAUCUGUGGCACAUACUUGGCUUAGACAUUCAUUUUGCUGCUAUAAUCAUCACCAUUACCAACAGCUCCAGACACUUGGUAAGAUGACAAGUUAAAUUGUCACAGAAGUUCAACUGUAUUUAAUAGCUAUUUUAAAAUAACUGUGUGGGUUUUCCUCUCAAACAAUUGCAAGUUAAGAAAUAUAAUAAAAUUGUGGCAGCUUUAAAAAGCCAAAGCAAUUCUAGGUUGCUUCAAUGAACGAUCAAGGGAAGUCAAAGUACCACUCUAUUCUACUUUGGUCUGACCUUACUUGGAAUAUUAUGUUUGGUUCUGGUCACCACGAUCCAUAAAGGAUAUUGACAAGCUGGAAUGUGGAAGCUAUUCCCUACAAAGCAUAGCUGAGAGAGCAGGAUAUCUUUAGCUUGGAGAAGAGAAGGUCAAGAGGUGAAAGUAGACAUGUUUAAAUAUUUGAAAGAGUGUCAUACCUAAAAUUGAGCAGGCUUGUUUUCUGCUACUCCAGAAACAACACUUUAUUGCACUAACUUGCUAUUAAACCUGUAGUUGUGUCGGGAUAGAUAGUGGCUACAUGCUGCAUAAAGUUCCUUUGAUAUUGCACUUCUUUCAUUAGCAUAAUUGCACUGAUUCACCAGUCCAUGGCCCCAUGAACACACUUCUAAAUACACUGGUAACUUCGUUUUCCUGCACUAUUAUGGUUCCUUUAUUUUGAAUUUUUGAAUUAAUAUUUUUAAAUGAUCAUAACUUGAGUCCCAUACUAUAGAUCUC